GAAUUUUGAACCUGGAAAAAAGGUAAGGGAAUCCUUAGAUUCCGUUGUUGUUUUCAUCCUUUGACUUUCAGUUUCAAUAGAUCCCUGAUGGAGAACAGGAGAGAAAGCUGAGGUCCCCAGCAAGGUGGGGAGCUGGAUUCAAGACCUGCCGGGACCAUAGCUUCUCCUGUGUCGUUACUCCUGCUGUGCUCUCCACCUGUUUCACUUGCCUCCAUAUCUCCACAAGUCAAAAAUCCUCCUGACCCUGAAGCCAAGGAUUGUAAACACAAAUUUAUCAGCAGGUGAGGAAAAGGAAA
rnacentral:lncRNA from 1 species